AUUGAACGCUGGCGGCAGGCCUAACACAUGCAAGUCGAACGAGUGGCGGACGGGUGAGUAACGUCUGGGAAACUGCCUGAUGGAGGGGGAUAACUACUGGAAACGGUAGCUAAUACUGCAUACCAUCAGAUGUGCCCAGAUUGGAUUAGCUUGUUGGUGGGGUAACGGCUCACCAAGGCGACGAUCCCUAGCUGGUCUGAGAGGAGGACCAGCCGCGCUGGAACUGAAACACGAACCAGACUCCAACGGGAGGCAGCAUUGGGGAGUAUUGCACAAUGAGAGAAAGCCUGAGGCAGACAUGCCGCGUGUAUGAAGAAGGCGUUAGGGUUGUAAAGUACUUUCAGCGGGGAGGCGUUACCCGCAGAAGAAGCACCGGCUAACUCCGUGCCAGCAGCCGCGGUAAUAC
rnacentral:rRNA from 1 species